rnacentral:rRNA from 1 species
AAUAACAAUGAUUUCCCUAGUAACGGCGAGUGAAGAGGAAAGAGCUCAAAGUUGGAACCGGGCUUCCUUAGGGAGUUUGGAUUGUAAACUGUAGAAGUGUUUUCCAGGCAAGCAGCGCAAAAAAGUCCUUUGGAACAAGGCAUCAUAGAGGGUGAGAAUCCCGUCUUUGGCGCUAGCAUUUGUCUUUUGUGAUACAUUUUCAAAGAGUCAGGUUGUUUGGGAAUGCAGCCUAAAUUGGGUGGUAAAUCUCACCUAAAGCUAAAUAUUGACGAGAGACCGAUAGCGAACAAGUACCGUGAGGGAAAGAUGAAAAGAACUUUGAAAAGAGAGUUAAACAGUAUGUGAAAUUGUUGAAAGGGAACCGUUUGGAGCCAGACUGGCUUGACUGUAAUCAAUCUCGGCUUUGGUCGUGAUGCACUUGCGGUCUAUGCCUGCCAACGACAAUUUUGGUUGAAGGAAAAAACUGGGAGGAAUGUGGCCAGCCUCGGUUGGUGUUAUAGCCUCUUAGAAAAUACUUUGACUGGGAUUGAGGUCUGCAGUGGAUGCUCUCGGGCGAAAUGCUGGGGUGCUUGUGUAGAUGGAUGCUAGAAUUUCUGCCUCGGGUGGUGCUAGUGUUCUGAUGUGCAACUCGCUCUAUCCAUUUUUUAUCCGCUUAGGUUGUUGGCUUAAUGACUCUAAAUGAC